UUGAUAGUUGAUAUUUAAUUCUAUUUAUCAUCAAAGAUCACACUUCAUUAGUUUUCAGUGAUAAAUGUACAUCUCUGAACACGGUACUGCCAUUAGACUUGCAGUGGAGCGAUGUCAUAGCAUUGUGACGUCAUUAAGUGU